rnacentral:rRNA from 1 species
CUUUUCUGCUAUAUCAUACUGAAUGCAUCAGUUCUCAUUCAAUCACUGAAGUUAAGCAACAUCAAAACUAGUUAGACCUAGAUGGGUAACCAUUUGGGAAACCAUGGUGCUGUAGUCA